CUGCAUACAGCCUCCAAUCUGUUGUGGGCCCCUGUAAAUUAUGGGGCCCAGGGCAGUUGCCUCUUUUGCCCUGUGGUAAAGACAGCCCUGG